rnacentral:rRNA from 1 species
GAUGAACGCUGGCGGCGUGCCUAAUACAUGCAAGUCGAGCGAACAGACGAGGAGCUUGCUCCUCUGAUGUUAGCGGCGGACGGGUGAGUAACACGUGGAUAACCUACCUAUAAGACUGGGAUAACUUCGGGAAACCGGAGCUAAUACCGGAUAAUAUAUUGAACCGCAUGGUUCAAUAGUGAAAGACGGUUUUGCUGUCACUUAUAGAUGGAUCCGCGCCGCAUUAGCUAGUUGGUAAGGUAACGGCUUACCAAGGCGACGAUGCGUAGCCGACCUGAGAGGGUGAUCGGCCACACUGGAACUGAGGCACGGUCCAGACUCCUACGGGAGGCAGCAGUAGGGAAUCUUCCGCAAUGGGCGAAAGCCUGACGGAGCAACGCCGCGUGAGUGAUGAAGGUCUUCGGAUCGUAAAACUCUGUUAUUAGGGAAGAACAAAUGUGUAAGUAACUAUGCACGUCUUGACGGUACCUAAUCAGAAAGCCACGGCUAACUACGUG